rnacentral:rRNA from 1 species
GGACGAACGCUGGCGGCGUGCUUAACACAUGCAAGUCGAACGGGGAUAUUUAGAAGAAGCUACUUGUAGUGGACUUUAAAUAUUCUAGUGGCGAACGGGUGAGUAACGCGUGAGGACUUACCCAUUUCCGGGGGAUAACAGUUGGAAACAGCUGCUAAUACCGCAUAAGCCUAAGGGUAAAAGAAGUAAUUCGGGAAUGGAGAGACUCGCGUCCUAUCAGCUAGUAGGUGAGAUAAGAGCUCACCUAGGCUAAGACGGGUAACCGGACUGAGAGGUCGAACGGUCACACUGGAACUGAGACACGGUCCAGACUCCUACGGGAGGCAGCAGUGGGGAAUUUUGGGCAAUGGGGGGAACCCUGACCCAGCGACGCCGCGUGAGUGAAGAAAUUCCUCGGAAUGUAAAGCUCUGUUGUAUGGGAAGAUAAUGACGGUACCAUACGAGGAAGCCCCGGCAAACUACGUGCCAGCAGCCGCGGUAAUACGUAGGGGGCAAGCGUUGUCCGGAAUUACUGGGCGUAAAGCGCACGCAGGCGGAAUUGUAAGUCCGUUGUAAAAUUCAGAGGCUCAACCUCUGUCUGUCGGCGGAUACUGCAAAUCUAGAGUAUGUGAGAGGGAAGUGGAAUUCCUGGUGUAGCGGUGAAAUGCGUAGAUAUCAGGAGGAACUCCGGUGGCGAAGGCGACUUCCUGGCACAAGACUGACGCUCAUGUGCGAAAGCUAGGGUAGCGAACGGGAUUAGAUACCCCGGUAGUCCUAGCCGUAAAUGAUGGAUACUAGGUGUGGGUGUCGCAGGGCAUCCGUGCCGCAGUUAACGCGUUAAGUAUCCCGCCUGGGGACUACGGUCGCAAGACUGAAACUCAAAGGAAUUGACGGGGGCCCGCACAAGCGGUGGAGCAUGUGGUUUAAUUCGAGGCAACGCGAAGAACCUUACCCGGUUUUGACAUCCACGGGAGGCUUCAGAGAUGGAGCUGUGCCGGCGUAAGCUGGAGCCGUGAGACAGGUGCUGCAUGGCUGUCGUCAGCUCGUGUCGUGAGAUGUUGGGUUAAGUCCCGCAACGAGCGCAACCCUUGCCUUCAGUUACCAUCAUUAAGUUGGGGACUCUGGAGGGACCGCUGCGGUAACAACGCAGAGGAAGAUGGGGACGACGUCAAGUCAUCAUGGUCCUUAUGGCCGGGGCUACACACGUGCUACAAUGGCAGUUACAGAGGGAUGCGAUUCAGUAAUGAGGAGCGAAACUCAGAAAAGCUGCCGCAGUUCGGAUUGAGGUCUGCAACUCGGCCUCAUGAAGUCGGAAUCGCUAGUAAUCGCGCAACAUCAUGGCGCGGUGAAUACGUUCCCGGGCCU